GGUGUUAUGUGGUAUGCUUGUAUCCUGCAGCCGUCAUGUACCACCUUGUGGUGUAUCCGGUACUUCCAGAUGCUGCGUGAUAUGAUGUGGCAGUACUGAAUUCGAGACUCAUGGGGAAAGGCAUCAGCGUCUUGAUCGCAUUUUCACCCGUGCGGUUGUGUCCUGUUGCGUCUACACGCUCCGGGAAACCCGGAGUUCCGCAGCCGCUUCCACUCGGACGCUGCACUCUUGUCGUGUUUUAUUGACAACUUUACGUCUGUUUCCAGUGUCGGCGGUCAUCCUACCGGCAUAUUUCGUUUCUACCAUCGUUAUUGACUUAUGAAAGCUUGCUUUGUCAAGUCAUUUGCAAAGAACGUCGCUCAUAU